rnacentral:tmRNA from 1 species
ACACUUUCCUUACUCCGUCGAGAAGACUAUAUUAAGAUGGCUGGUUUACCAGCUAUGGCGAUAAACGUUUUGCAGAAUAAGCGUAGCGGACCCGGGGGCAGUGCCCGGCGCCUCCACCAAUUUAGCUCACUCGGACCGAACAGUCCAAGGGCUUUGCGGGGGCGAAACAGGCUCGACACGCACGGUAAAGACAGUAGCUGUUCCCGGCAUUGUACCACCGUUAUCGGGCUAAUUCUAAAAGUGCCAACGA